GACGAACGCUGGCGGCGUGCUUAACACAUGCAAGUCGAACGGUGAAGCGCCUUCCUUUUUGGUGGGUGUGGAUGAGUGGCGAACGGGUGAGUAACACGUGAGUAACCUGCCCCCUUCUUCUGGAUAACCGCAUGAAAGUGUGGCUAAUACGGGAUAUUCUGGGUCUGUCGCAUGAUGGGUCUGGGAAAGAUAUUGUUUCGGUGGGGGAUGGGCUCGCGGCCUAUCAGCUUGUUGGUGGGGUGAUGGCCUACCAAGGCGGUGACGGGUAGCCGGCCUGAGAGGGUGGACGGUCACACUGGGACUGAGACACGGCCCAGACUCCUACAGGAGGCAGCAGUGGGGAAUAUUGCACAAUGGGCGCAAGCCUGAUGCAGCGACGCCGCGUGAGGGAUGGAGGCCGUCGGGUUGUGAACCUCUUUCGCCAGUGAAGCAGGCCUGCCUCGUUUGUGGGUGGGUUGACGGUAGCUGGAUAAGAAGCGCCGGCUAACUACGUG
rnacentral:rRNA from 1 species